rnacentral:RNase_P_RNA from 2 species
AUGGCAGAACGGAUAGUCGCUGGUGGAGAAAUCCACGGGAGGAAAGUCCGGGCACCACAGAGCAGGGUGGUUCGUAACGCGAACCGGGGGCAACCCCAGUGCAAGUGCAACAGAGAGCAGACCGCCGGGCAUCGGCCCGGUAAGGGUGAAAGGGUGGUGUAAGAGACCACCGGUUCCCCUGGUGACAGGGGAAGCCAGGUAAACCACACCCGGUGCAAGACCAUAUAGGAAGGCAGAUGGAGUGGCUCGCUUCGCCUUCGGGUAGGUUGCUUGAGCUGUCGGGUGACUGACAGCCUAGAGAAAUGACUAUCACCCCCCUUGGGGGUACAGAACCCGGCUUACAGUUCUGCCAUAUCA